rnacentral:rRNA from 1 species
GAUGAACGCUGGCGGCGUGCCUAAUACAUGCAAGUCGAGCGAACGGACGAGAAGCUUGCUUUUCUGAUGUUAGCGGCGGACGGGUGAGUAACACGUGGAUAACCUACCUAUCAGACUGGGAUAACUUCGGGAAACCGGAGCUAAUACCGGAUAAUAUUUUGAACCGCAUGGUUCAAAAGUGAAAGACGGUCUUGCUGUCACUUAUAGAUGGAUCCGCGCUGCAUUCGCUAGUUGGUAAGGUAACGGCUUACCCAGGCAACGAUGCAUAGCCGACCUGAGAGGGUGGUCGGCCACACUGGAACUGAGACACGGUCCAGACUCCGACGGGGGGCAGCAGUAGGGAAUCUUCCGGAAUGGGCGAAAGCCUGACGGAGCAACGCCGCGUGAGUGAUGAAGGUCUUCGGAUCGUAAAACUCUGUUAUUAGGGAAGAACAUAUGUGUAAGUAACUGUGCACAUCUUGACGGUACCUAAUCAGAAAGCCACGGCUAACUACGUG